rnacentral:rRNA from 1 species
UACGUAGGGUGCGAGCGUUGUCCGGAAUUAUUGGGCGUAAAGGGCUCGUAGGCGGCUUGUCGCGCUCGACUGUGAAAACCCGUGGCUCAACCAUGUGGUCUGCAGUCGAUACGGGCAGGCUAGAAUUCGGUAGGGGAGACUGGAAUUCCUGGUGUAGCGGUGAAAUGCGCAGAUAUCAGGAGGAACACCGGUGGCGAAGGCGGGUCUCUGGGCCGAUAUUGACGCUGAGAAGCGAAAGCGUGGGGAGCGAACAGG